CUACGGGCUGCUGCAGUGAGGAAUAUUGCACAAUGGGGGGAACCCUGAUGCAGCAACGCCGCGUGGAGGAUGACGCAUUUCGGUGUGUAAACUCCUUUUAUAUGUCAAGAAAAUGACGGUAGCAUAUGAAUAAGCACCGGCUAACUCCGUGCCAGCAGCCGCGGUAAUACGGAGGGUGCAAGCGUUACUCGGAAUCACUGGGCGUAAAGGACGCGUAGGCGGGUUGGAAAGUCAGGUGUGAAAUCUUACAGCUUAACUGUAGAACUGCACUUGAAACUUCUAAUCUAGAGUAUGGGAGGGGGAGAUGGAAUUAGUGGUGUAGGGGUAAAAUCCGUAGAUAUCACUAGGAAUACCUAAAGCGAAGGCGAUCUCCUGGAACAUUACUGACGCUAAGGCGUGAAAGCGCGGGGAGCAAACAGGAUUAGAUACCCGGGUAGUC
rnacentral:rRNA from 1 species